CGCGUAGGCGGUCUUUUAAGUCAGGUGUGAAAGCCCUCGGCUUAACCGAGGAAGUGCAUUUGAUACUAAAAGACUUGAGUAUGGGAGAGGGAAGCGGAAUUCCUGGUGUAGCGGUGAAAUGCGUAGAUAUCAGGAGGAACACCGGUGGCGAAGGCGGCUUCCUGGACCAAUACUGACGCUGAGGCGCGAAGGCGUGGGGAGCAAACA
rnacentral:rRNA from 1 species